rnacentral:rRNA from 1 species
AGGACGAACGCUGGCGGCGUGCUUAACACAUGCAAGUCACGGGGGCCCGCAAGGGUAACCGGCGAACGGGUGCGUAACACGUGAACAACCUGCCCUCGUGUGGGGGAUAGCCGGGCUAACGCCCGGGUAAUACCGCAUACGGUCAUCGAGAGGAGUCUCUUGGUGAAGAAAGCUCCGGCGCACGGGGAGGGGUUCGCGGCCUAUCAGCUAGUUGGCGGGGUAAUGGCCCACCAAGGCGACGACGGGUAGCUGGUCUGAGAGGAUGGCCAGCCACAUUGGGACUGAGAGACGGCCCAGACUCCUACGGGAGGCAGCAGUGGGGAAUCUUGCGCAAUGGCCGAAAGGCUGACGCAGCGACGCCGCGUGUGGGAGGACGCCUUUCGGGGUGUAAACCACUGUUGCCCGGGACGAAUAUCCUGUUUUGACAGGAUUGACGGUACCGGGUGAGGAAGCACCGGCUAACUCCGCGCCAGCAGCCGC